UACGGGGGGGGCAAGCGUUGUUCGGAAUUACUGGGCGUAAAGGGCUCGUAGGCGGCCAACUAAGUCAGACGUGAAAUCCCUCGGCUUAACCGGGGAACUGCGUCUGAUACUGGAUGGCUUGAGUUUGGGAGAGGGAUGCGGAAUUCCAGGUGUAGCGGUGAAAUGCGUAGAUAUCUGGAGGAAUACCGGUGGCGAAGGCGGCAUCCUGGACCAUUACUGACGCUGAGGCGCGAAAGCUAGGGGAGCAAACGGG
rnacentral:rRNA from 1 species